rnacentral:rRNA from 1 species
GGGUUGUGAGGUUAAGCGACUAAGCGUACACGGUGGAUGCCCUGGCAGUCAGAGGCGAUGAAGGGCGUGCUAAUCUGCGAUAAGCGCCGGUAAGGUGAUAUGAACCGUUAUAACCGGCGAUACCCGAAUGGGGAAACCCAGUGUGACUCGUCACACUAUCAUUAACUGAAUCCAUAGGUUAAUGAGGCGAACCGGGGGAACUGAAACAUCUAAGUACCCCGAGGAAAAGAAAUCAACCGAGAUUCCCCCAGUAGCGGCGAGCGAACGGGGAGGAGCCCAGAGCCUGAAUCAGCAUGUGUGUUAGUGGAAGCGUCUGGAAAGGCGCGCGAUACAGGGUGACAGCCCCGUACACAAAAGCGCAUGUGCUGUGAGCUCGAUGAGUAGGGCGGGACACGUGGUAUCCUGUCUGAAUAUGGGGGGACCAUCCUCCAAGGCUAAAUACUCCUGACUGACCGAUAGUGAACCAGUACCGUGAGGGAAAGGCGAAAAGAACCCCGGCGAGGGGAGUGAAAAAGAACCUGAAACCGUGUACGUACAAGCAGUGGGAGCCCCACCACCAAAGCAUUUGCUGUACCGCGUUGACGGAGCGAAGCGACGUCAAACCGAUAAAACAGCAGUGUAAAGUGAGCCGCAGGGCGCUUUGCGCGACAGCGCAAAGGCAGGCGGUUUCGCGUAGCGAAAGCGAAUGCUUUGGGGUGGGGUGACUGCGUACCUUUUGUAUAAUGGGUCAGCGACUUAUAUUCUGUAGCAAGGUUAACCGAAUAGGGGAGCCGGAGGGAAACCGAGUCUUAAUUGGGCGUUAAGUUGCAGGGUAUAGACCCGAAACCCGGUGAUCUAGCCAUGGGCAGGUUGAAGGUUGGGUAACACUAACUGGAGGACCGAACCGACUAAUGUUGAAAAAUUAGCGGAUGACCUGUGGCUGGGGGUGAAAGGCCAAUCAAACCGGGAGAUAGCUGGUUCUCCCCGAAAGCUAUUUAGGUAGCGCCUCGUGAAUUCAUCUCCGGGGGUAGAGCACUGUUUCGGCUAGGGGGCCAUCCCGGCU